rnacentral:tRNA from 2 species
GCGGGCGUGGCGAAAUGGUAGACGCAUGGGACUUAAACUCCCUUGGGCGCAAGCCCGUGCCGGUUCGAGUCCGGCCGCCCGCACCA